UGGUUGGAGGCGGUGGGUUGGUGGUGGGGAGGGUGGUGGUGAUGGUGGUUGGAGGGGGUGGGUUGGUGCAUCAAAUUUGGUUUUACGUACAAACAUCCACUUGGCUUCUAGAGACGUAUCCCCAAGUUUCACUGGGCCGUAAGGCUUAUGGUACCUACUUUGCAGCUUAAACAAAUAUAUUAAUAUGGGUAACUGCUGAUGUACGUGAAGGCCAAUGGAGAAGUGACAGAACCUUGAGCAAGAUUUAACAGCAUGUUACUUCAGCCUCAUCAGUGACAGCUGAUGUGUGUGAAGGCCAAUGGAGAAGUGACAGAACCUUGAGCAACAUUUAACACCCAGCAUGUUACUUCAGCCUCAUGAGUUAAGUUACUUAUAUAUAUCUUGGCUAUUAUGGUCAUCCCAUAAACUACUCAACACCGUGAAGGGUGUGUGUGGGGCCUGGCUGACUGUGUGAAGGAGGGCUCGUGAGUACUUAGUGGACAGAUUGGUCUUCGAGUAAAUUUAAUAUUAGUUGUAGUGACAGUAUAAAUAUACAGGAGUAGUAUAUAUAGGAUAUAGUAGUGGUAGUAGUAGUAGUAUAGUAGUUAAUACAGCAAGUAAAGCAAGUUGUUGUGGGUGGGUUCCAACUAAUUUUACUAACCUAACUUAACCAGCCUAAGUUAAUUAAACAUAAUAAUAUUUCACAGUAUACAGUAAUGUACAAUCUUUGUCGUCAGUAAUGAGUACAAAUAAUUUGUAACUGCAAAGAUUUUUUUCAAGAGUUAAGUAAGAACUAACAAUUGAUUUACAGACAUUGAGUGGGCAGUGUUCAUCUCUGAGUGUCACCAGAGUUGAGGGGUGCAGUAUAGUCUGCAUUUACGCGGUCAAUUGAACCCAUGGAGGUCCGCAUAAACGAAAUAACAGAACAUAUGGGAUUAAUUGAAAUAGAGACUGGGCUGACCCCCAAACUCCGACACAAUACUUA